GGCCCCGCAGUCUAGCCUGGAUAGGACGCGGGCCUGCGGAGCCCGUAGCCCGGGUUCAAAUCCCGGCGGGGCCA
rfam:Methanopyrus kandleri AV19, complete genome.